AGCGAACGCUGGCGGCAGGCCUAACACAUGCAAGUCGAACGGACCUUUCGGGGUUAGUGGCGGACGGGUGAGUAACACGUGGGAACGUGCCUUUAGGUUCGGAAUAAGCUCGGGAAACUGGGUCUAAUACCGAAUGUGCCCUUCGGGGAAAGAUUUAUCGCCUUUAGAGCGGCCCGCGUCUGAUUAGCUAGUUGGUGGUGUAAUGGACCACCAAGGCGACGAUCAGUAGCUGGUCUGAGAGGAUGACCAGCCACAUUGGGACUGAGACACGGCCCAAACUCCUACCGGGAGGCAGCAGUGGGGAAUCUUGCGCAAUGGGCGAAAGCCUGACGCAGCCAUGCCGCGUGUAUGAUGAAGGUCUUAGGAUUGUAAAAUACUUUCACCGGUGAAGAUAAUGACUGUAGCCGGAGAAGAAGCCCCGGCUAACGUUCGUG
rnacentral:rRNA from 1 species